rnacentral:rRNA from 1 species
UUGGUGCUUGCAUCAUGAUUUACAUUUGAGUGAGUGGCGAACUGGUGAGUAACACGUGGGAAACCUGCCCAGAAGCGGGGGAUAACACCUGGAAACAGAUGCUAAUACCGCAUAACAACUUGGACCGCAUGGUCCGAGUUUGAAAGAUGGCUUCGGCUAUCACUUUUGGAUGGUCCCGCGGCGUAUUAGCUAGAUGGUGGGGUAACGGCUCACCAUGGCAAUGAUACGUAGCCGACCUGAGAGGGUAAUCGGCCACAUUGGGACUGAGACACGGCCCAAACUCCUACGGGAGGCAGCAGUAGGGAAUCUUCCACAAUGGACGAAAGUCUGAUGGAGCAACGCCGCGUGAGUGAAGAAGGGUUUCGGCUCGUAAAACUCUGUUGUUAAAGAAGAACAUAUCUGAGAGUAACUGUUCAGGUAUUGACGGUAUUUAACCAGAAAGCCACGGCUAACUACGUGCCAGCAGCCGCGGUAAUACGUAGGUGGCAAGCGUUGUCCGGAUUUAUUGGGCGUAAAGCGAGCGCAGGCGGUUUUUUAAGUCUGAUGUGAAAGCCUUCGGCUCAACCGAAGAAGUGCAUCGGAAACUGGGAAACUUGAGUGCAGAAGAGGACAGUGGAACUCCAUGUGUAGCGGUGAAAUGCGUAGAUAUAUGGAAGAACACCAGUGGCGAAGGCGGCUGUCUGGUCUGUAACUGACGCUGAGGCUCGAAAGUAUGGGUAGCAAACAGGAUUAGAUACCCUGGUAGUCCAUACCGUAAACGAUGAAUGCUAAGUGUUGGAGGGUUUCCGCCCUUCAGUGCUGCAGCUAACGCAUUAAGCAUUCCGCCUGGGGAGUACGGCCGCAAGGCUGAAACUCAAAGGAAUUGACGGGGGCCCGCACAAGCGGUGGAGCAUGUGGUUUAAUUCGAAGCUACGCGAAGAACCUUACCAGGUCUUGACAUACUAUGCAAAUCUAAGAGAUUAGACGUUCCCUUCGGGGACAUGGAUACAGGUGGUGCAUGGUUGUCGUCAGCUCGUGUCGUGAGAUGUUGGGUUAAGUCCCGCAACGAGCGCAACCCUUAUUAUCAGUUGCCAGCAUUAAGUUGGGCACUCUGGUGAGACUGCCGGUGACAAACCGGAGGAAGGUGGGGAUGACGUCAAAUCAUCAUGCCCCUUAUGACCUGGGCUACACACGUGCUACAAUGGAUGGUACAACGAGUUGCGAACUCGCGAGAGUAAGCUAAUCUCUUAAAGCCAUUCUCAGUUCGGAUUGUAGGCUGCAACUCGCCUACAUGAAGUCGGAAUCGCUAGUAAUCGCGGAUCAGCAUGCCGCGGUGAAUACGUUCCCGGGCCUUGUACACACCGCCCGUCACACCAUGAGAGUUUGUAACACCCAAAGUCGGUGGGGUAACCUU